rnacentral:rRNA from 1 species
UACGGGGGGAGCAAGCGUUGUUCGGAUUUACUGGGCGUAAAGGGCGCGUAGGCGGCCAGCACAAGUCAGUUGUGAAAUCUCCGGGCUUAACUCGGAAAGGUCAACUGAUACUGUGCGGCUAGAGUGCAGAAGGGGCAACUGGAAUUCUCGGUGUAGCGGUGAAAUGCGUAGAUAUCGGGAGGAACACCAGUGGCGAAGGCGGCUUCCUGGACCGGUUCUGACACUGAGGAGCGAAAGCGUGGGGAGCGAACAGG